rnacentral:rRNA from 1 species
GACGACUUUCUGCACUCGAUNCNAACANGNUUAUGAUNAUGCUCAGAGUGNCGCUGGCUUAGCUACCAUGCAAGUCGAACGGCAGCACAGGAGAGCUUGCUCUCUGGGUGGCGAGUGGCGGACGGGUGAGGAAUACAUCGGAAUCUACUCUGUCGUGGGGGAUAACGUAGGAAACUUACGCUAAUACCGCAUACGACCUACGGGUGAAAGCAG